rnacentral:rRNA from 1 species
AACGCGAAGAACCUUACCUCGGCUUGACAUGCACCUGGUACCAAAGGGAAACCUGAGGGACCCGCAAGGGAGGGUGCACAGAUGCUGCAUGGCUGUCGUCAGCUCGUGCCGUGAGGUGUUGGGUUAAGUCCCGCAACGAGCGCAACCCUUGUCCUUAGUUGCCAUCUCUAGGGAGACCGCCGGUCUAAACCGGAGGAAGGUGGGGAUGACGUCAAGUCAGCACGGCUCUUACGUCGAGGGCUACACACACGCUACAAUGGCCGGUACAACGGGCUGCGAAGGGGCGACCUGGAGCCAAUCCCACCAAAGCCGGUCUCAGUUCGGAUCGCAGGCUGCAACUCGCCUGCGUGAAGUCGGAGUUGCUAGUAACUGCUGGUCAGCACACAGCAGUGAAUACGUUCCCGGGCCUUGUACACACCGCUCGUC